AACGAACGCUGGCGGCAGGCCUAACACAUGCAAGUCGAACGGAUCCUUCGGGAUUAGUGGCAGACGGGUGAGUAACGCGUGGGAAGCUACCUUGUGGUAGGGAACAACAGUUGGAAACGACUGCUAAUACCCUAUGAGCCCUAUGGGGGAAAGAUUUAUCGCCAUGAGAUGUGCCCGCGUUAGAUUAGCUAGUUGGUAAGGUAAUGGCUUACCAAGGCGACGAUCUAUAGCUGGUCUGAGAGGAUGAUCAGCCACACUGGGACUGAGACACGGCCCAGACUCCUACGGGAGGCAGCAGUGGGGAAUAUUGGACAAUGGGGGCAACCCUGAUCCAGCCAUGCCGCGUGAGUGAUGACGGCCUUAGGGUUGUAAAGCUCUUUCAGCAGUGAAGAUAAUGACAUUAACUGCAGAAGAAGCCCCGGCUAACUUCGUGCCAGCAGCCGCGGUAAUACGAAGGGGGCUAGCGUUGUUCGGAAUCACUGGGCGUAAAGCGUACGUAGGCGGACUGAUCAGUCAGGGGUGAAAUCCCGGGGCUCAACCCCGGAACUGCCUUUGAUACUGUCAGUCUUGAGAUCGAGAGAGGUGAGUGGAACUCCGAGUGUAGAGGUGAAAUUCGUAGAUAUUCGGAAGAACACCAGUGGCGAAGGCGGCUCACUGGCUCGA
rnacentral:rRNA from 1 species